UCUCCGUUGGUGAACCAGCGGAGGGAUCAUUAUUUGAUUGAGUUUACGCUCUAUAACCCUCUGUGAACAUACCUAUCGUUGCUUCGGCGGCCCGUUUUGGGGGGCCCGCCGGUGGUUUUUAUACUCUUGUUUCUCGUCCGACGUAUCGUCUGAGUGGCAAAAGCGAAUGUCAAAACUUUCAACAACGGAUCUCUUGGUUCUG
rnacentral:misc_RNA from 1 species